AUUGAAUGCUGGCGGCAGGCCUAACACAUGCAAGUCGAGCUAGCGGCGGACGGGUGAGUAAUGCCUAGGAAUCUGCCUGAUGGAGGGGGAUAACUACUGGAAACGGUAGCUAAUACCGCAUACCCUCGGAUGUGCCACGAUGGGAUUAGCCAGUAGGUGGGGUAACGGCUCACCUAGGCGACGAUCCCUAGCUGGUCUGAGAGGAUGACCAGCCACACUGAAACAGAGACACGGUCCAGACGCCUACGGGAGGCAGCAGUGGGGAAUAGGGCACAAUGGGCGCGAGCCUGAUGCAGCCAUGCCGCGUGUAUGAAGAAGGCCACCGGGUUGUAGAGUACUGUCAGCGGGGAGGCGUUACCCGCAGAGGAAGCACCGGAUGACUCCGUGCCAGCAGCCGCGGUAAUAC
rnacentral:rRNA from 1 species